AGGGGAUUUCAUUAUUAGAUCAGAACCGGAUGAUGCAAGAUCUGUAUUUUUUGUUGAUUUUCGUAGGGUUUCUGAAGCACAUCCAAGAUAUUCACAGGGGAUGAAGCUAUUCGAGA